UACAGAGGGGGCAAGCGUUAUUCGGAAUUAUUGGGCGUAAAGAGCUCGUAGGCGGUCUGUCGCGUCUGCUGUGAAAACUCGGGGCUUAACCCCGGGCCUGCAGUGGGUACGGGCAGACUAGAGUGCGGUAGGGGAGACUGGAAUUCCUGGUGUAGCGGUGAAAUGCGCAGAUAUCAGGAGGAACACCGGUGGCGAAGGCGGGUCUCUGGGCCGUAACUGACGCUGAGGAGCGAAAGCAUGGGGAGCGAACAGG
rnacentral:rRNA from 1 species